rnacentral:misc_RNA from 1 species
AAAAUGGAGGGAUGCAUUACUUCAUAUCCCGAUGUUAGUAGUCGAGACGAAGUUGCUGGUGGGGAAUUGAAAGCAUUUCCAGACAGGCUUUUUGCUGUUCCCCCAAGAGUUGCCAGUGGUUCUAUUCCUGGAGUUUCUGUUGAGACAUACCAGGAGGACAAUGCUAAAUGGAAAAAGCAUGUAAAUGCUUAUAGGAAAAUCAAUAAGCUUAUUGACUCUGGAAGGUAUCGCAACAUUAUGGAUAUGAAUGCUGGAUCUGGAGGAUUUGCUGCUGCCCUUGAGUCUCCCAAAUUAUGGGUUAUGAAUGU